rnacentral:rRNA from 1 species
AAUGAACGCUGGCGGCAGGCCUAAAACAUGUAAGUCGAACGCCCUAGCAAUAGGGAGUGGCGCACGGGUGAGUAACACGUGGGAAUAUGCCUUUUGGUACGGAACAACGUCUGGAAACGGACGCUAAUGCCGUAUGGUCCCUUCGGGGUAAAGAUUUAUCGCCAAAAGAUUAGCCCGCGUCUGAUUAGCUAGUUGGGGAGGUAAUGGCUCACCAAGGCGACGAUCAGUAGCUGGUCUGAGAGGACGAUCAGCCACACUGGGACGUGAGACACGGCCCAGACUCCUACGGGAGGCAGCAGUUAGGAAUAUUGGACAAUGGACGCAAGUCUGAUCCAGCCAUGCCGCGUGAGUGACGAAGGCCUUCGGGUUGUAAAGCUCUUUAGUCCACGAUUAUAAUGACUGUAGUGGAAGAAUAAGCCCCGGCUAACUUCGUGCCAGCAGCCGCCGUAAUAC